UACGUAGGGGCUAGCGUUAUCCGGAUUUACUGGGCGUAAAGGGUGCGUAGGUGGUUUCUUAAGUCAGAGGUGAAAGGCUACGGCUCAACCGUAGUAAGCCUUUGAAACUGGGAAACUUGAGUGCAGGAGAGGAGAGUGGAAUUCCUAGUGUAGCGGUGAAAUGCGUAGAUAUUAGGAGGAACACCAGUUGCGAAGGCGGCUCUCUGGACUGUAACUGACACUGAGGCACGAAAGCGUGGGGAGCAAACAGGAUUAGAUACCCUGGUAGUCCCUGAG
rnacentral:rRNA from 1 species